GAUCAUGGCUCAGGACGAACGCUGGCGGCGUGCCUAACACAUGCAAGUCGAACGGAACUUCUUUAAUUGAUUUCUUCGGAAUGAUUUUGAUUAAGUUUAGUGGCGGACGGGUGAGUAACGCGUGAGUAACCUGCCUCUAAGAGGGGGAUAACAUUCUGAAAAGAAUGCUAAUACCGCAUAAUAUAUAUUUAUCGCAUGGUAGAUAUAUCAAAGAUUUAUCGCUUAGAGAUGGACUCGCGUCCG
rnacentral:rRNA from 1 species